UGAGAUUUUUGUCUUCUCCCUUCUGU
rnacentral:piRNA from 2 species